CAUUAAUGCUGCUAUUGUAUACUGUUACUUUUAAGUGAAUUUGUGCAGAAAGGAGGACUGAAAAAAAAAAUGGUAUCAAUCCUGAUAUUAUUUCUAAACAAUAGGCUACAAUUAUCUUGGUUGGAAAUAAUUAUUUCCAAUUGAUUUUAAAAGAAUCAGAACACAGGAUGGGAUUCCUGCUCCCAAUCCAGCAAAGCUCUUAAACACUUAGUAGUUUUACCUUUCUGCAUCAUGCUCACAAGAAAGGAAAAUCUGUAGGAAAAUGCUGUCAAAAUUAUUUCUGCUAAUCAUGAUUUCUUUUUGUAUUGCCUUGCUAUGUUCCUGUUCACACAUCUGUCAGUCUGUUUCAUCUCUGUUCAGAAACACUUCUGGUGUUCUGUGACUUCAGAAGUGAUAGUUGUUUUGAAUGUCUCUGUUCUCAGCUCACUUGUAUGAGACAGGGUCUUGAUUAGAACUGGGCAGGGUUUUUUUGGUUACUGUUUUUUUACUGGAAACAACACUUUUGAUUGUUAUUUUGUGCUGAAUUUCCUCCACAGGUUUACCAAGGUAAGAAGCUGUGUUCUCCUUUUCCAUCAGAAACCCUCUGAUUAGGAUGCUCCCCUGGAAUGACAGAAGUCAAGGGUUCAAAACCAGUUUCUGCCCAUUUCAGAGCAGGAGUUGAAUCACUGCUUGGGAGCGUGUCUUAAUGUUACCAGGUAUUUUUUAAGUGCAUUCUCCUUGAUGUCUUCUGACACAGUUCUGUUUUUACACAGAACAUCAAAAUAUUUUUUGGAAUAUUUAGUGCAAAGUCCUACAUCAUUAAUAACAGAGGUGGAGUAACUGUUAGCAGAAAACCCAAUAGCAUAUGAUGUGGGCAUUGACAUGAGAGCAUUGACAAGUGUCUUCAUCACUCUUUUGAAAAGAGGAAGGCCCACAAAAUAAUGGGUAUGUGUUUUCGUUGCCUUUUUAAUUCACUGUUUCUUGGUUUCAGGAGACCAAGUUGGCAGUCAGACUCCUUAAAGAAGCCUUGAGUGUUUGACACCAAAAAUAUUAGUUAAUUCAUGUAGGAUUUUUUUAAUGCUAAAUUAUUGAUUUACAUAACUCAACAUGCAUGCAUCAGUGCAUCUUUCUUAUCUACACAUUCCUCCAUAACUAGUCACGACUGUAUGCUGUGUGGAAGGGUCAUCUUAGUUCCUUUCCCAGUAGUUGAAUUGUUCCUUUGAUAUAUUUUUGUUCCUUAUUUACUCAUUUGCCAGUUGCUCCCCUUUCUGGGAACAUUUGAAUCCAUAAUAAAUGGACUAACCUUCGAGUCUAAAAGGCCUUCCAAUAUUUUUAGCCUUUGCCAGGAAGGAAAGGAACCUACACAUCAUGAAGCUGAGAAGACAGAGUUUUUUGCCAAAACUCCAUCUUUCUCCCACUCCUUUUGCCUGGCCAUCUGGGCUUUUCAGAGAACAAGAAAUGACAAGUGCCUUCUGUAUCUACAAGUUUAAACAGUCUCUGCUGAAGGAAAAAAAAAUGCUUUCCACAUAUUCAUAAAAAGGAAAACAAGCAAGAAUUCUGCAGUAACUGAAAUCUGCUAGCACUUUAGGGAAAAUACAAUAUCCUAAAAAUUGCAGGUAGUUUUUGUCAGAAUAUGAUGGUAUGAAGAGAAUCAGUGCUAUGGCCAUCUUUGAAAGGAAUCUGAAAUGGAGUAUAUCUUGCAGCUGAACUGAAGACCUAAUUCUGCCAGUUCCACUGAGUGGUAAGUAGCCCUAAUGGCAUUAUUUAAGCAAAAACACUUAAACUGAUAUCUGAAUGAAAAGAUGGGGGGAGAGAAAUGGAAAGGAGGGCAUUUCCUUUAACACACACACACAAAAAGAUUUUCUUCUGAACAAUCUUAAAACUGAACUGUAUAAAAGUACCAAACAUAGUCACUAAGUGAAAUUUGAUUUUGACUUGACUAGCUUACGAUGCUUUCAAAUUUGCAUGCUAUGCAUCAUCAGCACACUUUGCAUGGUUGCUUUGUUCAGCUGGGGAAGUAUAUAGUAGCUUUGAGGGGAAGGUGAGUUUUACUCUCUGUUGGGGAGGAGAUAAUGUAUUACUCUACAUAAAUAGGAUGGAAAAUCGAGCCCUUGCUUAUUAUAGAGGAAUUAUUUGCCAGAGUCUGAUUUGCCCCCAUGUCUAUCUCAGUUACUACCUUCAUCACUAGUGUUUAUUUUGCACAGUUGAGCACUGCUUCUGCAGUCAGCAGGCCUGACUGAAAGUCUGAGACUGGAGUUGAUGGAUUUUUUUUUUUUAGCAUCCAUAACUGUACUUUCUGUAAGCUGCACUAUCAGUUCCUUGGGAAUAGUUAUGGAAAUGGAUAAUUCUUCUGAAUUUUUUUCAUUAGUGCAGGCAUCUUUUUUUUAUUUCAGAUUGAGAUGCAUAUAUUUUGGAGUCUCCUUCCCAUGCUGUGUUAGUAUUGUUAAUAUUUUCUGUUAUGAAAAGAGCCUCUGAUUAAGCUUAAAAGGCCUCUGUGUGAAGAGAAUGAGAAAUCAGAAUAUUUCUAAUAGAUGUUUGACUUACUAAUACAUAGCUGAUAGAAUUGCUAAGCACCUCUGCACUGUUGAAAGUAAAGAAAAUGGGCAAAUAGAAGAUUUACAUAGCAGUAGAGAAGGAAAAGAUUGUGGAAAAAUAUUCACACAGGUAUGGGGUGUUAAUUUAAUAUCUUUGCACAGGGUCCUCUUGAUGCCAGUAGUACUUUCAGCAGCAACUGAGAGCUAAGCAUAUGUUUGAGUAUUUUGCUGUAGUAUGACCUAAACCCAGAUUGCAAAGGAGAUGGUGCAUGGCAAAGUUGUGUUGCCAUACAUAACUGGUAAAGUACAUCUUUCCAGUAUGAGAACCCAUUGCCCUCUUAGAGGCUUAGACUCUCUGUCAUGGGAAGGGCAAGUUUGAACUCUCACAGGCACAGGGUGGAGUUCCGCCUAGAUCCACAUUCUGUCACAGAUGAAAAAUAAUUGCUCCUACUCUCUGUUUUAAGAGAAAAGAGGGGCAGUUUGUGUUUCAUGAACCAGCCCACUUUGUCAAUCCUCUCAUCCUCAAGAGCUGAGCAUACGAACUCUGUGGAGCUGCGGAAGGCUUGGGAAGAAAACAGCUACCAAGCAGCCAUGUGUUGAAGGCUUGGGUAGCUGCAUGUGUGCAGCCAGCAGCUGAAUCUUAGAAACUGGAGAGCUUUAAUGUGAAAAACGGACAUAUGUGGGCAGAACUGUCUCUAGUGCUGGGCAGCAGCUGAGUUUUUGACUACCAGAGCCAAAAUGUGAAAAAUAUGUUAGCUCAAGCUUAGAUGUAAUAGAUAUCUGUAACUUUGCAUGUGUUGCUCCAUUCUCUCUGUUCAAAGUAUCCCCUUUUAUUGUAAGAGCCAUGCUGUGAAAAAUCAACCCACAGCAGUCUUGUUCAAUCAGUCUGAGAACAGGCUGAAAUCAUAAGCCACAAGAGCUGUGAUUCCUCCCCCAAGUCUCCUCCUAAGAGUGCUAACUUCAAAGGUUGCUUUUGAGCAUUGAAAUACCAACUGUAUUAAACAAGUGGUCAAAACGCAAGCAACCAGUUUGAAUUGCUGAAACUUAAUUAAAAGUACCAGCUGGCUUCACUUCUGACUGAGGAUCCAUUGCAACAAAACAGACCAAACAAAAUUCCAGUCUAAACCCAGCUAUCUGCUGCUCCGCAAUGAAAGCUCAAUGCUGCAUGUGUCACUUUGAAGCCUAGGUGAAAGUUUCACUGUUUGGCGAAUGUCAUUGAUGUGUACGAACACACUUGCAUGAGGGCAGAUGUCUUCCUACUGAAGGAGGAGGGGAAAAAAUCUCUACAGGCUUCCUCUUCCCCGUGUCUGUUCUAAUUCUUUUGAAUCACAAAAUACGAGUGCCAGGUGUCAGUUUGCACAGAUGGAUAGUUAAUACGCUGCUCAUGUUGUUGUGAGGUGACUGCUGUUUGACUCGUAUCUUUUGAGCUGAGUCAUGAAGUGUGACUGUGUGGUUGUACAUUGCUUUGUCUCAGUGCACUGGGCAAGGAGGCGGCUGCUCAGAGCAGCUAUCCCGGACCGAGACGAAACACAAAAGCGGGGAUUUGGAGCGCGUGAGCAGGCACUGCUGAGCUGGUGCAUGCUUCUGCAACUGUGCAGAGCCAGGGCAGGCCCCCGCGUGGCAGUAAGGCCCUAGCACCACCACCCCUCUCCUACCAGCCGCCCCACAGGCACUUCACCAAGGUAUAAGGAAAGCCCCGAAGACAAUAUAGAUAAGGCAGCAUAAGAAUUCAGAGCAUUUGGAUGGAAAAGAUUUCUCUUAUUACACAGGCAGCUAAAAUGCUGAUCCUUCAAAAAUCUCAGGAUCAGCAAGUUGAGCAAUUAGCUCAAUCAGUAAAGAUUACUUAUUUUCACUCUUCAUAUAGUGCCUCUGCUGCACUUGGUUUUGGUCUGGGAAUUACUCUCAAGUGUUCCAAACCUUCUAAAUAGGCCUCAGGCGUGCCACAAACUAUUCUUUGAGGUCUCUCCACCCCCACGUGCAGUUUAUUUGAAAUCACUGCCUCUAGCUGUAAUUGUGUCCUGGAGCCUUUGCUUUAAAUGAAAAUGGCUUCAAGUUGAACUCUAACCCCUAUUAUCAUCCUCCAAAGGAAAGAGGCCCAGUGGUAGUUCUGCUCCUGCAAAGGUUUGAGUAGACCUACUUGACUCUGUCGGAGUGAAAAAUGAUCUGGAAUAGGUAGGCACAAAUGUUUUGGCUAGUGAUAUAUUAAUGGUUUCGUAAUAAAGUAUGAAUAGCUAGUCUGUGCCCCAUACUUUCCAUGUGAGUGACUUCAAACGCUUCCCAGAUAUCUUGGCAUUAUAUUGCGUUAUUGCCUUUGUUGGUAAGAUAGUGUGACAGAGAGCAGCUUAGGAGAGACUUGGGGGGAGGGGGCAAGGGAGCGCCUGGAGAGUGGGAGCAAGUACUGAGAGGGACUUGCUGCUCCUCAGAACAGGCAUACUGUGCAAAAGGAGAGCUGUGGCCCCAAAGCUUUCGAAAGGUCAGCGAUUGGCUUUUGUUCGAUUAGCAGUGGUACGUGCUUUCAGUCCUGGGCAGCUGAGUUGUGAAGAUUAACAGUUUUCUCUCAUUUUCCUCAAUAUACAAUUGAUUGGCGCAGGGAAGGGAUUGAAGGGGUUCCAGCCACUCAGUAACGCUUUCUCCUGCAAAAGCGUUUGACAAGUGCAUUUUCAGUUGUGUGCUUAAAAUCAGUUUCGUGCUUUAGAUAUAAGCUAAGUUUAAAAAUGACAGGUUUAAGAAUAUUGAUAUGAUGCCAGUCUAGUUUUUCAGUUAAAUGAUAGAUUGGCAACCAUGUAAUUGAUUUCCAGUGUUUAAUUCUGCUCACUACUUUGAAGAUGAAAACAGUGCCUGAACUCUUAACUUUUCUAUACGGUAUUUAAAUCAAUCAUUUGAUUUUUCAUAAUAAAUAGAUAUUUUAAAAAUUCACACAUUGCAGCUCGGCUUUUUAUUUUAAUGCUUGUAAAGGCAAGGUCCUAACGAGCAGUCUCCUCAAGUUCACUUUUAAAAUAAAAUUCAAUGAUGAAAGUGUAAAAUAUUAGAAGACAGCAGGUAUAGGUACAACAGAUUGCAGCCUUGCUUAACAAGGAGGAGGGAACUGAAAGAUGGAAGGUUCUGUGCAUUGUGUACUGCAGGCAGUACUGCUCCUAGCAGUCCCCAGUGUAGAUGAGUUGUCUAUAGUUUCUGUAGAUUUAUGACUGCUAAGGCCAAGAGAUGAAUUUCUUCUGGUUAAUUGUCCUUGUUUUUUGGUGGCCAAGCUUCCUGUCAUUUUAUUCCACCAAGCUAUGGAGGUGAAAAGCUUAGAAUUGGGUACACCUGUGCCUAGCUCUAUAUUUACAGCUGCAUUUAAUCUCACUUUCACUGAAAUCAGCAACUUUCUGGUAAGCAGAGUUUUACUCAGUGCUGUUCUGUUUUGUUUUUCUUUUGUCUGAUUGAAAAGAUGAGCUUAGGAGGCUUACUUUGUGGGUUAACUUCACUUGUUUUAUUCUUAACUUUGCAGUUUCUACUCUCUUACAUUCUCAACAAGUGUAACACCACAGUAAAAACUAUACAUGCUACAAAUAAACCACAAAAGAUGUUAUACUGAUAAAUGUCUUGCAUCUUCAACUACAGUAAUAUGAGGCCUGCUUUAUAAUUCAUCCAUUGGGGAUUUUGUGUUUAUUUUGAAGCCUCUGACGUAUGCUUACUAGACUAACAGAAAACUGCAUACUGAGACUCUUAAGAACAGUGAUUACAGAUCAUUUUUUAAACCUUGUGAGUACUUCUAGACUGAGACCUGCCUAGCAUGUUAUAAGAAAUGCAGUAUUAUAAAUCAUGCUGUCCUACUUAAUCACCAUGGCUUACCUUAAUAACCCUUGAAAACCAGUUUCACCACUGCUUUGAUGGUAGCUGGAGUGACUUUAGCACUGUUGAGAACAGCUAGAUACUGGCCUGCAUGGGGAAGGCAACACAGUUCUCAUGCCACUUACCACUGUGGCAAUAUGGAGGGUUUCUGAGACACCAAAUAAGAAAUCUGGCUAGGAAGCCCACUAGGCAAAUCAUCUCUGUGUGUGUGGUGUGGGACAGAAUUGGGUCAGAGCCUAUUGCAGUUCAUGGAUCACAGUAGUUACUAUGGAUUUGCUUUUGUGUUUGCUACUUAGUGUUGUAUUCCCUGCCCCCAUGCAAAUUUGUUUUUUUUAAAUUCUGUUUCUGCAUAAGAAGAAAGUCUCUGGACCCACAGCAUUUGGUGAGUUUCUUAGCAACACCAUGUUUUGAGCAAUACAGUUAGCUUUCCCCAUCAGCAUGCCCAAAGUAGCUGAGCAACUAUGGUCUUGUCUUUUCACAGAAAGAAUUAUGGGUUUUGUAAUUAAUUUCUGGUUUCGUGGAAAGUAGUGCUUUUUUGCAUCUCAUUUCUCAUAGUAAAAUGGGUACAUACUGUGAACAUCUAUGAGGUGGUCAGUACUACAGUACCAGAGGAGCUCCCCAAGUGUUUAUGAAAUGUCUUUAAAAAUAACAUAUCUAAAAGGGCAUAAUAUUUUACCACGUAACAUGCUUAUAAAAAUGAAAAUCACUCAAUUUCACUGUUAUUUCUUUCUGUAAUGUUUGGCAGCUGUUAUUUUAAUGAAGGGAAUUUAGAAAGCAAGAACUAUUUGACUUGACUAAAUGUUUUAUCAUCCUUUACAGCAGUUCAUUGUAUCUUCAUCCAGCUGAGUUUAUGGUAAUUCCAUUAUGAAUAAGAUGGGAAGACAAGAACUUAUAGUUUUAAAAUAUAAUUUGUCCAAAAGAUACCAUAUUAAAAUACUGAUUUUAAAUGGUAUGUACUACUUUAUGUGCAUUUAUUAAAGAGUCACUGUUGAACAGUGGCUACAAGUUCAAGAAAAGUGAAGUGUUAUGGAAGACAUCCAGAUUUUUGCAGUGAUUUUACAAAAAAUUGAUUCAGAGUGGAAGGAAGAAGUCUUGACACCAGUUCUGUGGCUUCAGAAAAUUCAGUGAAGUAUGGUGCACAGAAUGAGCUCAAACAUGCCUACGCAAUUGAUGUUAACGUAGGUGAGAGGCUCCCUGUGUAAUGCCAAUGAAAGAAAGCUGUUUAAGAGAAUUACCAAUGUGAGGUUCUGAGGAAGGAGUUGUAUUUUAAAGACUAAAACUCUCUGAGGUAUAAACACUUUAACUAAUAAAACUGGACUCUACCUAAGAUUCCUGGUCACUUUAUCCUAAAAAUAAGCAUUACUAAGGAUCAGACAACAAGAACUUAUGACAGUUCGUAUUUGCAUUUAGGCACAUUAAGCUUUACUUUGGGUACUUGAGUCCUUUGGUGGAUCUGCCUAUCAGUUGUGGGGGGGUUUUUUGUUUGUUUGUUUGUUUGUUUUUUGUUAUCCUACAUUUAAAAUGACAAUAGUAUUUUAUGUUUCAUAGAGACCUGUAAUUUUGAGGUUGAAAUAAUAUCCAUUUCUACUAUCCUAUACGUAUUGUAAGAUUGCCAUCUGCAUAGGAAUGUCAUUAUUCUCAGCUGUUGCUAGCGGAUGAUGCUUCUGAGGAGUAUCCCAGACGGAAAGCGGAAAGCAAGUGAGCAAGAGUUUCUAUUUCCUUAGUUUAUAUGGAUGUGUAAAUGUUGCUGGGUAACAUGACUCAGCGCACAGCUUUAUGAAGUAGAUGGGAUUGUGUUAACUUACACAGCAAGCAUAAAUUAUUUUCCAUAAAUAGUGAUACUGCAGUUUAGCUCUGCAGGGUCAUUAGAGAUAAACUUAGAGAAGGAGCUAAAAUUUACUUUCUAAAAAGUAGCAUUUCUUUACAAUUUUCACUCCCCCCAUACAUACCAUAGAACCAUUCAGAUGGUGGGGGAGAGAGGAGGCAUUGCUUGUGUAUGCUCCUAUGUGUUUCUUACUGCAGUACUUAAUUAUAGUGUACACACACUGUCAGGUUUUUCAUGGCGAAUGGUAAAGUAUGUAUAUAAAACAGUUGGCAGGGAUGAUUUAAUAAUAUCUGUGCUAAAUUGAAAGUGUACAGAAUUAAAAACUCAGACUAUGCUUUACAUUUUAAAUUGCCUUAAAAACAACAUAGGAUGUGAUCAACACCCCUCCUCCCCCCAGUAACUAAGAUAGACCUUUUAGACCUUCCUGCUUUAUGUGAAGGGGUUCUUCUGAUUCCUCUUCAUGAUUUUAGCAGAACAAUCUGCUGCUUGUAAGAAAAGUUCCAGUUCCCGGCAGUAGAGGACAGUAAUAUGUGGCUCACUAUUACGAAUCAGUUGCUUUAAAAAGAAAAAGGAAAAAAAAAAAAAAAAAAGUACUGCCUUUUUUAUAUGUUUUACUUAUUUUCUGGCUUGUGGGAUGAUCACGUCUCUAAGCUCAAAUGUCUGUCGUCUUUAGUUCAUAUUCCUCUCUUCUUUUCCUCCCUCCUUCCCCGCCC